rnacentral:rRNA from 1 species
ACUUGUACCGACUGGAUGAGCAGCGAACGGGUGAGUAACGCGUGGGGAAUCUGCCUUUGAGCGGGGGACAACAUUUGGAAACGAAUGCUAAUACCGCAUAAAAACUUUAAACACAAGUUUUAAGUUUGAAAGAUGCAAUUGCAUCACUCAAAGAUGAUCCCGCGUUGUAUUAGCUAGUUGGUGAGGUAAAGGCUCACCAAGGCGAUGAUACAUAGCCGACCUGAGAGGGUGAUCGGCCACAUUGGGACUGAGACACGGCCCAAACUCCUACGGGAGGCAGCAGUAGGGAAUCUUCGGCAAUGGACGAAAGUCUGACCGAGCAACGCCGCGUGAGUGAAGAAGGUUUUCGGAUCGUAAAACUCUGUUGGUAGAGAAGAACGUUGGUGAGAGUGGAAAGCUCAUCAAGUGACGGUAACUACCCAGAAAGGGACGGCUAACUACGUGCCAGCAGCCGCGGUAAUACGUAGGUCCCGAGCGUUGUCCGGAUUUAUUGGGCGUAAAGCGAGCGCAGGUGGUUUAUUAAGUCUGGUGUAAAAGGCAGUGGCUCAACCAUUGUAUGCAUUGGAAACUGGUAGACUUGAGUGCAGGAGAGGAGAGUGG